GAUGAACGCUGGCGGCGUGCCUAAUACAUGCAAGUCGAGCGAACGGACGAGAAGCUUGCUUCUCUGAUGUUAGCGGCGGACGGGUGAGUAACACGUGGAUAACCUACCUAUAAGACUGGGAUAACUUCGGGAAACCGGAGCUAAUACCGGAUAAUAUUUUGAACCGCAUGGUUCAAAAGUGAAAGACGGUCUUGCUGUCACUUAUAGAUGGAUCCGCGCUGCAUUAGCUAGUUGGUAAGGUAACGGCUUACCAAGGCAACGAUGCAUAGCCGACCUGAGAGGGUGAUCGGCCACACUGGAACUGAGACACGGUCCAGACUCCUACGGGAGGCAGCAGUAGGGAAUCUUCCGCAAUGGGCGAAAGCCUGACGGAGCAACGCCGCGGGAGUGAUGAAGGUCUUCGGAUCGUAAAACUCUGUUAUUAGGGAAGAACAUAUGUGUAAGUAACUGUGCACAUCUUGACGGUGCCUAAUCAGAAAGCCACGGCUAACUACGUGCCAGCAGCCGCGGUAAUACGUAGGUGGCAAGCGUUAUCCGGAAUUAUUGGGCGUAAAGCGCGCGUAGGCGGUUUUUUAGUCUGAUGUGAAAGCCCACGGCUCAACCGUGGAGGGUCAUUGGAAACUGGAAAACUUGAGUGCAGAAGAGGAAAGUGGAAUUCCAUGUGUAGCGGUGAAAUGCGCAGAGAUAUGGAGGAACACCAGUGGCGAAGGCGACUUUCUGGUCUGUAACUGACGCUGAUGUGCGAAAGCGUGGGGAUCAAACAGGAUUAGAUACCCUGGUAGUCCACGCCGUAAACGAUGAGUGCUAAGUGUUAGGGGGUUUCCGCCCCUUAGUGCUGCAGCUAACGCAUUAAGCACUCCGCCUGGGGAGUACGACCGCAAGGUUGAAACUCAAAGGAAUUGACGGGGACCCGCACAAGCGGUGGAGCAUGUGGUUUAAUUCGAAGCAACGCGAAGAACCUUACCAAAUCUUGACAUCCUUUGACAACUCUAGAGAUAGAGCUUUCCCCUUCGGGGGACAAAGUGACAGGUGGUGCAUGGUUGUCGUCAGCUCGUGUCGUGAGAUGUUGGGUUAAGUCCCGCAACGAGCGCAACCCUUAAGCUUAGUUGCCAUCAUUAAGUUGGGCACUCUAAGUUGACUGCCGGUGACAAACCGGAGGAAGGUGGGGAUGACGUCAAAUCAUCAUGCCCCUUAUGAUUUGGGCUACACACGUGCUACAAUGGACAAUACAAAGGGCAGCGAAACCGCGAGGUCAAGCAAAUCCCAUAAAGUUGUUCUCAGUUCGGAUUGUAGUCUGCAACUCGACUACAUGAAGCUGGAAUCGCUAGUAAUCGUAGAUCAGCAUGCUACGGUGAAUACGUUCCCGGGUCU
rnacentral:rRNA from 1 species